rnacentral:rRNA from 1 species
GAUGAACGCUGGCGGCGUGCCUAAUACGUGCAAGUCGAGCGAACGGACGAGAAGCUUGCUUCUCUGAUGUUAGCGGCGGACGGGUGAGUAACACGUGGAUAACCUACCUAUAAGACUGGGAUAACUUCGGGAAACCGUGGCUAAUACCGGAUAAUAUUUUGAACCGCAUGGUUCAAAAGUGAAAGACGGUCUUGCUGUCACUUAUAGAUGGAUCCGCGCUGCAUUAGCUAGUUGGUAAGGUAACGGCUUACCAAGGCAACGAUGCAUAGCCGACCUGAGAGGGUGAUCGGCCACACUGGAACUGAGACACGGUCCAGACUCCUACGGGAGGCAGCAGUAGGGAAUCUUCCGCAAUGGGCGAAAGCCUGACGGAGCAACGCCGCGUGAGUGAUGAAGGUCUUCGGAUCGUAAAACUCUGUUAUUAGGGAAGAACAUAUGUGUAAGUAACUGUGCACAUCUUGACGGUACCUAAUCAGAAAGCCACGGCUAACUACGUG